rnacentral:rRNA from 1 species
GACGAACGCUGGCGGCGUGCUUAACACAUGCAAGUCGAACGGAAAGGCCCUGCUUUUGUGGGGUGCUCGAGUGGCGAACGGGUGAGUAACACGUGAGUAACCUGCCCUUGACUUUGGGAUAACUUCAGGAAACUGGGGCUAAUACCGGAUAGGAGCUCCUGCUGCAUGGUGGGGGUUGGAAAGUUUCGGCGGUUGGGGAUGGACUCGCGGCUUAUCAGCUUGUUGGUGGGGUAGUGGCUUACCAAGGCUUUGACGGGUAGCCGGCCUGAGAGGGUGACCGGCCACAUUGGGACUGAGAUACGGCCCAGACGCCUACGGGAGGCAGAAGUGGGGAAUAUUGCACAAUGGGCGGAAGCCUGAUGCAGCGACGCCGCGUGCGGGAUGACGGCCUUCGGGUUGUAAACCGCUUUCGCCUGUGACGAAGCGUGAGUGACGGUAAUGAGUAAAGAAGCACCGGCUAACUACGUG